AUGGCCAAGGACGAGAACGGCUCGGCCCCGGAUGGUGCCGGCAAGGAGGAGGGGGAGAUAGCGGCGGCGCGCAGCCGCAGCCGCAGCAAAUCCCUAGAAGCCGCGGAGGAGGAGGAGGGGCGUUCGAAGGGGAGGCGACACCGGGGCCACCAUGGCAAGUCAAAGAGGCGUGACGAGGAGGAGGGGAGCGAGAGCUCCGACGAGGACUCGGGGGAGCGGCGUAAGCGGCGGAGGAAGGAGAAGGAGCGGCGGCGGCGGAGGAGGGGGAGCCGCAGCGAGAGCUCGGGGUCGGAGUCGGAGUCAGAGUCUGAGUCGUCCUACUCGAGUUCCAGCGCGGAGUCGGAAAGCGAGUCGGAGGAGGAGGAGGAGAGGCGAAGGAGGCGGCGGCGGAGGAGGAAGGAGAAGGAAGAGGAGGAGAGGAGGAGGAGGAGGAAGGAGAAGGAGAAGAGGAAGAGGAAGGAGAAGGAGAGGGAAAAGGAUAAGAAGAAGAAGAAGAGGAAGGAUGAGAAGAAGGAUUUGGGGAAGAAGGCUGCAGUGACCAACUCGUGGGGCAAGUAUGGCAUCAUCCGUGAGGUUGAUAUGUGGAACAAGCGUCCAGAGUUCACCGCAUGGCUAUUAGAAGUCAAGCAGGUUAAUUUGGAGGCACUGGCUAAUUGGGAAGAAAAACAAAUGUUCAAGGAAUUCAUGGAAGACCACAACACAGCUACAUUCCCAUCAAAAAAAUAUUAUGACUUAGAUGCUUACCAUCAACGGAUGAUGGAGAAAGAAAAAAGGAAUGGUUUAAAGAAUGCGGGUUCGGUAGCAGUCCGUACAGUAUUUAAUGAUGAGGAAGUACGACGGUUAGAACUGUUGCAAGAACGUGAACGCCGAAAGGAGGAAGAAGUGACAGCUCUAAAACGCUCCAUGCAAACUGGAAUGGCUCAAGCGAUGAAGCAGCAGUCCCUUCUACGUGAGGAAAUGAUGUUACAGUACAAGUUGGGCAAUUUCGAGGCCGCAGCUGCAAUCCAGAAAAGGUUGGAUCCUGAUGCUCCCCCUCAAUAG
rnacentral:rRNA from 1 species